UAAUGUUCCUGCUUGUUCCUA
rnacentral:miRNA from 1 species